UACGUAGGGGGCAAGCGUUGUCCGGAUUUAUUGGGCGUAAAGAGCGUGUAGGCGGCCAAGCAGGUCAGCUGUGAAAACUCGAGGCUCAACCUCGAGACGUCGGUUGAAACCGCUUGGCUAGAGUCCGGAAGAGGAGAGUGGAAUUCCCGGUGUAGCGGUGAAAUGCGCAGAUAUCGGGAAGAACACCCGUGGCGAAGGCGGCUCUCUGGGACGGUACUGACGCUGAGACGGCGAAAGCGGUGGGGAGCGAACAGG
rnacentral:rRNA from 1 species